rnacentral:rRNA from 1 species
AUGGGCUCCUUCCUGUCGUCCUUGUGGACCCCUCCGCCGCUCCCCGGCGACGACCCCGACUCCGCCGUCGUCGCCGUCCACUCCAAGCCCGCCUGGGACCGGCACUGGGAGGCGCACCGGAACGCGUCCAAGCUGAUGGUGAUCGACUUCUCCGCCUCCUGGUGCGGGCCCUGCCGCUUCAUCGAGCCCGCCUUCAAGGAGAUGGCCUCCCGCUUCGCCGACGCGCUCUUCGUCAAGAUCGACGUCGACGAGCUCGCGGAGGUUGCAAAGACAUUCCGCGUAGAGGCGAUGCCGACCUUCGUACUGGUGAAGGGCGGGCAGGAGGUGAGUCGCGUGGUCGGGGCUAAGAAGGAUGAGCUCGACAGGAAGAUCAAGACGUUCAUCUCAUCGUCCUGA